GGUUUGCCACUCAAUCAACCAAAAAUUUAUUAAACACACAAAAUUAAAAACAUAAAUAAAUAACAUUAACUGAAAAUAUAAAUUUGUUCAUGGGGGACAAAACACCCCAAUAGUACAACACCAUGGUCAAAAUACAAAAUCCGAAGAUACAAAUAGAAUUAACAUAAAAACUGAAAAAAUACAAAAACUUAACCCACUAAGGGCUCAGGACUCCUCCUCGCUACCGGCCUCAGAACCGGUAGCCUCAUCAUCAUCAUCAGCAUCAUCAGCUUCAGC
rnacentral:lncRNA from 1 species